rnacentral:rRNA from 1 species
UACGGAAGGGGCAAGCGUUGUUCGGAAUCAUUGGGCGUAAAGGGCGCGUAGGCGGUCUUGUGUGUCUGCUGUGAAAGCAUACGGCUCAACCGUAGAGGGUCGGUGGAAACUGCAAGACUCGAGGCUGGGAGGGGCUGGUGGAAUUCCCUGUGUAGCGGUGAAAUGCGUAGAUAUAGGGGAGAACACUCGUGGCGAAGGCGGCCAGCUAGACCAGUCCUGACGCUGAGGCGCGACAGCGUGGGGAGCAAACAGG